rnacentral:lncRNA from 1 species
AGGAACUAAGUAUUGUCCAUUUAUAUUUAUCUCAAUAAAUUUAUAUUUAAUGAGGUUUUAAAGAUUCUAGGGAUAAUUAAAGCAAUAGAAGGGUAAAAUUGAAAACUACAAUAAAAAUGAGAAUAGAUAGGUAAAAAAUGUAGGAGCCACUUAGUAUCACAGUCUAGUGGUGUUUCUCUUCACUUAUAAGUGAGAGGUCUUAGGUUCGAUUCUCGCCAAAGACAAGUUUAAGCCAUAUUAUUGCUAGCCCAUUGUGAGGCUAAACCAACCCCUCCUCUUAGUGUAGAUAAUAUCAUUUGUUAAAAAAAAUGUAGGAAGAGUAUAGAUUGAGAUUUGGGAGUGCCACUAACAACUCCCAAAAAAAUAUUGAGGUAUAAGGUCUUAAUUUGUUCUCUAUCGUUAUCCAAAUCGUCUACAAGGUCUCAAAUUUUUAUGAUUGCAUCACGAGGUUUUAAAAUUGUAUCAAUAUACACCUUUUAUCUCAUUGAGUGUGUAGUAGUCUAUUAAAUUGAUGUUUUUUUGUCAGUCCCUAGAUUUUUUAUUUAUUUAUUUUACCGACAGGCAUAUGGUUAUGGGCCUAUGAUACUGUCAUUUGCAUCAACUCACCUGAGGUCUGAACAAUGUUAUAAUAGUGAAUGCCAGAGGCCAAAGGUACGCCGGUAAACCACCUAUGUACUUUUGAGAAGUAGGCUAAGAAACAUUGAACCAAGAACACGAGCAUCCUUUCGAACCCACUCGGUAAAUGAGUGAUUUUUAGUUUGCAUGCCGUUGUUAUCAGUGUUAAACUCAGCAUGACACUCGAAAAAAUGUCGAUGAAAGCCAUGAGAUGACGACUUUUGAGAACGAGAAUGAUCUGGGCUAACUAGAAGAGGUAGUUGGUAUGAUCUAACUUAAUAGUGACGGAGUUGAAGAAAGUUGGGGUUCCACCAUAAAACCAAUUAGCAAUAUGGAGAGUAGCCCAACCUCUUAUAAGUCCAUCUUCCCAUCAAUGUGUGACUCAUUCUCAACAUGCCCCCUCACAUGUGGUGAAUUUUCGCAGAGAUUAAAACUUAAGAACAGUGAAUUAAGAGAGAAAUCAAAUUAGAAUACAAUAACUGAAUUUAGAAAGAGCAAAUUAGACCAUGCUAAAACUGGCAUUGACUUGAGACAUGCCAACAAUUAUGAGCUGAACUAAUCUAGCAAGUUUCUAACUACCAAAGUACCAGAAGGACACUCACAGCAAUCGAUUAAAAAUUGCACGGAAACCGUGUAGUUGUUCAUAUGCUUUUGUUUUUUUUCUUCAGAUUUAAGGGUUAAAUAAACAAUUAUGAUUUUAUCCCUUUCACACAAAGUUAUUCGUAAAGUACAUGUAUCAGACUGAGUUAUCUAUCGUGUGAGACAGAGGGAUUAUCUCAUUAACUCAUUCAAUCUGAAAAAAGUUUAGACAUAACAAUCAAGCUAUUUCAGUAGUUUUAAGCCUACCGUAAGAGUUUGUCUAUCCCUAUGUUAUUUCUUUUAAAGUGGAGUCAUGUCUAUAGACGAUCAGAUCUUACACUCAUGGGAGACCGACUCUCUGCAAGCCGCAACUUUAAACCUAUACCUCUACUAGGCGUGAGUUUCUCGUUCCAUUUGAGAUAACUUGCUCUAGUUGACACCCGAAUUAUCACAUCUUUUGUCUCGCUACCCUUUCCUUUUAGUCGAGCUACUUUGUUACCCUCUACUAUGAGAUACGAGCUUGACAACCACAUAGUAAUAUCUUUUUAAGCACUCCUAAAAAGAUAUGAUUUUCCUUCUUUUUUCGACAACAAUGGAACCUCAAAAUUUUUAAUGAUGUAGAAAGUUAUAAAUUAGCAGAAAAAAAACAUUUAAAUUCAUAAUGUCAAGGGUUCAAGAUUGAUGUAGAAAUCAAUCAAGGUUGCCGCCAUCCACCUAUAUUAUGAUUUAUGAUUGCCUUAACUACAAUUAGAAUUGAGUUAGUUGUUAUUACUUGUUUUAGGCAGUUCGUUAGGAAAUGUCAGUUGGCAAGAGUGUUUGGGAACGAGUAUAUGAAGCAAGGAGAAAAUUUUCAUUGUGACCGGAAACACCACGUGUUUUUAUAUAAAUGGUGAAAAAAUUUAUAUUUUAAGUUAUUAGUUUUUUAACACACAUAUUCCGUCAUUUGUAUAGUGACAUGUGAUGUAUCACUCUCUGUACAGAUUGCAUUGAAAAAUCUCUCAUGAAGCAAGAAGUGAGUGGAGUUUGUAUCAUAUCAGUUUUACAAAGGAAAUUAAUUACAAAUAGAUAUUGGAGCUCAGUUUCAUCUCUUAUUCUCUCUUCCCUCCCUCUUCAUCCAUAUUCUAUGUGCUACUUGUAGGUUGAAUAGGGUUUUUGAGAACUGGAUCUUAUCAAUGGUAUCAUCCUUCUUGAGUCCUUAUUUCCCUCCUGUGGACUCGAGCUAAACCCACCCACAUAGUCUUUCGUCCAUGGAGACUCGUGUAGCUGUCCUUGAAACAUCUGUCCCGGCUCUCCCAUAAUUGAUUCAGUUGUUGAUUUCGGUGGCACUUUCCUCCUUUUCUAUUGCCCUAGAUACCAAACUUGUGGCACGUUUUGAACGACUUCCCUGUGAGCUAUCAUUUGGCUCCGAAUGAGGUUCACAUGUAGCCCUGAUGUCAUGAUAUUGUCCGAUGACGUUGAAUAGCUCGAUGUUGAUUUCAAUACGGUUCAAUGUUUUGGGAUCCACGACGCGGAAGGCAACCCACUACGAAUUCCCUCGAUCAUCCACGGCAGAGUCAGAAUUUUUGUUCUUUAGUUCAAGAAAACUUUGAGGGAUGGAGAAUGCGAUCACAUGGCUUCAAUUGUAGGAUAAAUGGUUCAUCAUGAAUAUGUUACUUGGUACACGCCGUUAAUUUGUUUGAUGCAAUAAAUUGAAUGGUUUUUUUUUUAAUUUUUUUAGGGAUGAUUUUCAAAUGAAAAUUAAUAGAUUGAACGAUUCCUAUUAUGAAAUUUCUACUUCGAAGAUACAUUAUUUAUAAGUGAAAAAAUGAGCUCAUCUCCAAAGGAAAAUGCAAUUAUUAUCCCUUGGAUUAUAUUUAACAUUUUAAUUUAUGGUUCUGAUUUUGGAAUGAUAUACACACCAGCCCACCCCCCCCCCCCCCCCAAAAUACGAUAAGCAUGGUUCAUAUAUCUCGACAAAUAAGUAUGUUUAGUUGGAAGGACUAUAUAAUGUAUUGAAGGAAUUUAAUUGAAGAAAUUUAUUUGUGAGAAGGGUCAGUUUUUAACUAUUAUACCAAAUAAGUCUAACGAUAAUACAAAUAAAGGAAAACUAACAAAAGUCAUCAAAAAUUUUAGUUUUAUUGAAAAUGGCGAAAUAUAGAUGUAAGUGAAUAGUACCAAGAGUGACUUUUCAAGGUAAAAAUGUUCUUUUCGUUAAAAGUGAACAUUAUCGGAAGUGUUUCAUUAAGAUUCCCUGCAAAUAAAUACAAACUUGGCAAAUGGUGAGAGGGUUAGUUGACCACUUUAGGCCUUAAUUGGCUCGCCUCUGAGCAAAUGAAUGAUUUAUCCAAUUACUAAGUUUUGUAUUCUUUACUUGCUAU